rnacentral:rRNA from 1 species
CCCUUAGAUGUUCUGGGCUGCGCGCGCGCUACACUGAUGCGCUCAACGAGUUUAUAACCUUGUCCGGCAGGAUUGGGUAAUCUUCUUAAAACGCAUCGUGAUGGGGAUAGAUUAUUGCAAUUAUUAAUCUUCAACGAGGAAUUCCUAGUAAGCGCGAGUCAUCAGCUCGUGCUGAUUACGUCCCUGCCCUUUGUACACACCGCCCGUCGCUCCUACCGAUUGAGUGCUCCGGUGAAUAAUUCGGACUGCAGCAUUGUUCAGUUCCUGAACGUUGCAGCGGAAAGUUUAGUGAACCUUAUCACUUAGAGGAAGGAGAAGUCGUAACA